AUGACAGAGGCAAAGCAACAACUUUAUCAUGGUUGUACCAAGUUUUCGAGGUUCUCCUUUGUGGUAAAGCUUCUUCAUUUGAAGUCAUACCAUAGGAUCACAAAUAGUGCAUUUACUGAUAUAUUGAAGAUAUUGGCUGAAGCAUUCCCUGAACCUAAUACACUCCCAAAAUCAUACGAGGAAGCAAAGAACCUUCUGAAGGAAUUAGGCCUUGGGUAUGUUUCUAUACAUGUGUGCUUUAAUAAUUGCAUUUUGUUCAGGAAGCAAUAUGCCAAUCAUGACAACUGCCCAGUUUGUGGCCUAUCAAGGUGGAAAGACCCUGCUAGAAAGAAGAUUCCACAGAAAGUGUUGAGGCAUUUUCCAUUGGUGCCUAGGCUGAGGAGGAUGUUUCUUUCCAAAAAAGGAGCAGAAGAA
rnacentral:rRNA from 1 species